rnacentral:tRNA from 1 species
CAGCGCGCUGGCGCAGGCGUUCCCGCUGCUCUCCGGGGGCGGCGGCCUGGACCUGUCGGUCGGUCCGGUGCUCGGCUUCACCACGGUGCUGG